ACAAGAAGCUGGGAGGGAGCACAGGCAGGAGAGCAGACCCAAACUGUCCAAAGGGAUAUUCUGUACAAUGGGAUAUCAUGUUCAGUAUGAAAACUGGGAGAGUUGCUGGAAGGGGCUGAUCACAGCUUGGGGAAGGGCUGGGCAUUGAUCAGCAGAACUUCUGCCUUCAACAAGGAUUGCCCCACAAUCAGUGAAAGAAACCCAAACAAUUUCCUCCUAUGCUUUUGGAGCCACAGGGCAAAAGUAUCCUCGUUGGCACCAUCUGACUGCAGACCUUCCUCUUGAUCUGGAUCAGAAAACUGACAAAGUGCUCUAACCAACAAGUUUGUUGCUUCGUGCUCAGAAAUAAAGAAAAGAAGACCCUUCUGUGACUGUGCCAGGAAACGCAAUAUAUCUCGGAUAGCCUGAAGCACACCUGGAUGUGCACCUGUCACUGGAAGAGACAGUAGCAAGGUAAUGCAUUCCAAGAAAUGGUGACUGUGCAGAUAUCUGAAAAAAAAACCAAAAAACAAACCAAAACCAGGAAAGUAAUCAGCAAUGCUACAAAUAUUUGUCAACACUGCACAAUAACAUUAUAUAAAACUACGUAUCUUCUAUCUUCAGUACUUAUUGCUCUGUGGACUACAAGAAAUAAUAACUAAUCGUGAAGUAGUACAAAACUUAAACCUUACAAAAUGUAACUGCUAUACUAUUUAUAAGAAAUAAGUCCUAGAAUUCUGAUCUCCAUAAAAAAACCCCAAACAAAAAAAACCCUCAACCAUAUCUACACACAAAACAGGACACUGUAUUUUAUUAAAUUUGCUGCAUCUGAAUCAUCAUCAGUGGCAGAUUCAAUGUUUUAAAUGUGCUAGGAAAUCAAUCAUUAUAGCACAUCUAGCAGACAAUUUCUGAAGAUUCUUUGCUUGUAGAUGCUUAUAUUCAGCCAUGACCCACACAACUGCUACCAAAGAAAUCUGUCAGCAUUUAGAGAAGCACUUUCUAGACAGAAACUUGCUAAAAGAGUAAGAACCCACAAGAUGUUUUAACUGGCUGAAGGCAGGCCUGUGCUGUGAAAGUGAGCUACAGAGACACGACUGUAUGACCUCUUCAUGAAUCUGAGGCCAGUUUGCAUCUUGCCACCCCAACAUGCAGACUGAGAAAUUCCAGACCUAUUUUAUCCAUACACAUAGACAUGUUCCAAGAUGUCAAAUGAAGCACUCUAGAUUUGCAACCAUUUUCAAACUGGACAGCACCUAGCAUAACCAGUCAGCACCUGUGAAUGCAACUGAGAGGUGAGCACAUGACCAGUAAUAAGGAGACGUUAACUUCUGGCUAGGUGCAUUCUACAUUGAUUGAAAGCCAGCGAAAUAACAGAUAUAUUAACUUAUCAAACCCUCUCAGACCUUAUAUGCACAAUCUAGAAUCUGGCAUAAAGAAAUACGUGAAAUAUCUAACAAAGUGUUAUUCAAAAAAGUCACCCUUGAAAUAGAUCCCUAUCAAGCUGGAGGAAAUACACUCUAGAAAGUGAAUUUGCAACUGCUGUACCUAAACAGGACAGGGUAAGGAUCAUCCCUUUCUGGAGGGCCUGUAAUGCGUGCCAUGGUCGGGAAAGAUUUCACAGGUGGCUGAAUCAUUGUAUGAGGAGCAGUUUCCAUCAAAUGGAAGAUCUCUUCAAGAAGACUAACAAGUUUUUCCAUCUCUCCUUCGCUUAUAUUAGACGAUUCCAAAAGAUGAUCCAUGUCCAUAGGAGCCUCCACAUCAUUUUCAUAUUCUUGGUUGGUUCUUUCAAGUCCUGCCAACUCCUGAUCCUGUUCUGGCUCUGUGUGAUUAGGAAGAGGAGGAGUGCUCUCUGCUAACUGAUCAACCACCUUUUUAAUGUCUGACAGAAUCUCGUAGAAGUGACAUUUCUGGAGAAUUGCAGAACCAGCUGUAACAACUCGCACAGUCUGAUCUAAGAGUAUGAGUUCCAGGAGUUUCUGAUAACCACUUUUUUCAUGUACAUCUGUGCCACCUCUUAGAAACAUUUCCAUUCCCUCAGUCAUACUAAUAACACUAUCCAAAGCCUUAAAAGCAUUAAGUUUAAGGGAGGAUGAUACAUGAUCUGCAAACAACAGUUCAAACAACACAUUAAUAACUCCUGCCUGCAAGAGUGCCGUGAUUCCUUGAGUCCCACAUUCUGCUAACGAAGACACCAAUUUUGUCCCAGCUUUGAGCUGUCGAACGUUCAAAGCAAUGGGCUGUUUGAGAGCCACCUGAAGGUUUAAAGCUUGCAGGGUCCAGUCUACUAGGCGGGUAAUAUAGUCUUGCUUUGUGUCUUUUACCAGCAGGUAGCUCAAUUCUUUUACUAUUAAACUUGGAAUUUCUUCUAAUGCAGUGACCCACUUUGCACCCCUUUCCUCUUGAUAUAAUUCCAACAGUUCAGUUAAUUUAACUGAGCCUUCCACUGCCCCUGAAUUUUCUUUUUCUGAUUCUUGGUCCUUUAUUUUCGCAACUUCAUUUUCAAAUACAGUCUUGUAAGGGCAGCUGAAGUAUAAAAGUGGUCCAAGCUCCUUUUCAAAAGGUUCAUAUGUCACAGGAGGCACAGAUGCCAGAUCCUCAGGAGUAUAUUCAAUAUCAAAGCUUGGAUACUUAAAUGUUUCACGUUCCAGAUCAGCAAUUACAUCUUCAUCACUUGAAAUCUGCUCAUAGCCAUCAUCUCCUAAAAAGAGAAAGAUUAAGUUACCAAAUCAGUUAUGAAUAAGCCAGUUCAUAACUGUGGAGAAUAUCUUCCAAAUACAAAGUAGCGAUUCAUUUUACACAAAUAUUACUAGCAAGAGAACAAUGUCAUAUUAACAUAAAAAAAGAUUUCUCUCUUUCAAGACACGAGUGGAAAGUUCCAUUUGACAGGUGAUUUUUUUGUAAUAAUGGAGUCAUUUAAAAUAAUGUAUAAAGCAAAAAGUUUAACUAGAGUACACAUUACUACAAAUAUGUUGUCCGAUUUUCUUCCAAUGAUUGCAUCUAUCAUAAAACUUCUAGCCUGAAAUUUUUGCAUAGACAUAGGUGGGAUCUUUAAGUAAUACAAGAAGAUGACAACUAACUUUAUUACAUAAACAACUUCAUUUGGGUUUUACUUAAGAAAUAAUCUUUCACCACUUUCCUACGUUUAUAAACAAAACACAACAAGAUUGAAUGUUCAUUCCCACCUAUACAACUGUAUCUAUUUUCCUCUGUUUAUAGAAAGUUUUACUAAAAAGGAAUAAAUAUCCCACAGCAAAAUAAUGUUCUUGAGAGAUAUCAUGACUACAAAUAAGACAAUGUUGCAAUAACCAAGGGAAAAAUAUUCGGUUCCCGUUGCACAUAUUAAUCAUGAAGAAGCUGCCAUCAAAAUUUCAUAAACCUUUUUUUCUAAACACUUUACAACUUACCAUCACCUUCUUCCUCCUCUUCACCCUCUUCUUCAUCUUCAUCAUCUUCCUCCUCCUCCUCUUCUUCUUCAUCAGCAAUACUCUCUACUGUAUGACCAUCAUCAUCAUCAUCAUCAUCGUCGUCGUCCUCAUCCUCCUCCUCCUCAACAUCCACAUCAUCAUCAUCAUCUUCCCCUUCUUCUGGUUGAUCUUCCUCUACUUCUCCAUCAUCAGAAUACUGGCUUUCUUGAUGAAUGGAUGUUCGAUCUGGAGAAAUCGGCUCAAAGUAAUCCUCCCUAUGGUCCACAUCAUCUUCUUUUUCCCCAACCACUAAAAACAAAUACAAAGUUUCAGAAAUAAGAGCACUUUUCUGAAAUUCAAAGAUAUUACACAGGCCUGGUCCUAUGAGUGGAUCCCAUAUGGUCCCAUACACUUGGGCUGACCAUUCCCUCCUUGAUUAUUAAGGGCUCAUUCUGCCCCAUGUCUGUCUUCCAGCCCAGGGUACCAGGAAAGUAACCGAUCUUCCUUUUAAAGACUGAGGCAAAGAAGUCAUUAACUACCUCAGCCUUUUCCACAUCCUUUGUCACCAUGUAUCCCCCUCCAUCCAAUAAAGGAGAUUCUCCUCAGCCCUCUUUCUUUUGCUAAUGUAUUUAUAGAAAUAUUUUUAUUGUCUUUAAUGGCAGUAUACAUGUUUUAAGUUCCUGCAUCGCAUAUAACAGAGAUACAAAAAAAAGCAACUUGAAAAUCUUCACGUGAUUUAACUGAACACAAUCACUUAGUUCAUUAAGGCUAUGAACAUGCAGAGUUCUUGAUGCUUUUAACCGAUACAGAGACCAUGGCAGAUGCUGCAAAAUAAUCAAGGACAAUGGAUACCAGAGCCAACAGAACACUUAUGUAAAACAUGAGCAGCAUAUUCAACAGUGUAUAGGUCAACAGCCAAUAUUCUCAAUCUACCAUCUUUUAAAAUUAUGCAAUUUAACAAAGCCAAAACUUUAUUUUUUUCCAAAUCCCUUUCCUAAAACUGAAUCUGUCCAGCAGAAGUAACAGCAGACAAGAAACAGGAACACAGAAUUCUGCCUCCUCUAAGCAGUGAUGUGCAGCAAAUAAAACAAAGUCUCUUCUCGUUCUACCUGACACUGGCAUAGGUUCAUCCUCAUCAUCAUCAGGAGGAGGAGGGCCUGGAGGUGUCCUUGGUCCCCUGGGUUGUGGUCUUGGAGGACUGCCAUUGAACUGGUCUUCUUUCUCUCCAUCAACUGUAUUUAUUGGAAAAAUAAAAUCUUCCAUUUAAUAAAACCACAGGAAUAAAAGCAGAAAA